rnacentral:sRNA from 1 species
UUUUUUUUUCCUUUUU